UCCCUAGUGGUCUAGUGGUUAGGAUUUUGCACCUUCAUUGCUAAGGCCUGGGGUCAAUUCCCAGUCAAAGAA
rnacentral:tRNA from 1 species